rnacentral:rRNA from 1 species
UGGGGAAUAUUGGACAAUGGGCGCAAGCCUGAUCCAGCAAUGCCGCGUGAGUGAAGAAGGCCUUAGGGUUGUAAAGCUCUUUCGGCGGGGACGAUGAUGACGGUACCCGCAGAAGAAGCCCCGGCUAACUCCGUGCCAGCAGCCGCGGUAAUACGGAGGGGGCUAGCGUUGUUCGGAAUUACUGGGCGUAAAGGGCGCGUAGGCGGCGCGAUAAGUUAGGCGUGAAAGGCCCGGGCUCAACCCGGGGACUGCGCUUGAUACUGUCGUGCUGUGAGUCCGGGAGAGGAUGGCGGAAUUCCCAGUGUAGAGGUGAAAUUCGUAGAUAUUGGGAAGAACACCGGUGGCGAAGGCGGCCAUCUGGACCGGCACUGACGCUGAGGCGCGAAAGCGUGGGGAGCAAAC